GUGGAAACUGAAGGAGCUUUACAAGAGAAACAAAGUAGACAAAAAGCCAAAAGUUAGAUAUAUCUGUUUCUAAACUAAAGGCUCGGUUUUGUUUUAGUAAAGCAAGUCAAGUGAUGAAGGUAUGAACAAUCUUUGGGGGGAGAAGAGGCAAGAGAAGGGAGAUGAUGACACCAUAAAGCUCAGCUCAAAGAAGGACAUUCAUGGACCGAUCACGGAAGAAGGGAUGAGAUUUCAACUUCCUACCAUGUUCUGUUCCGGAAUCAAGGGAGCUUCAAAGAUCAUGUAACAGAGUUACAAAAAUAUUGAAAAAUCAUUAUUAACUUAUGAUGGGUGGGCGUGGCAUUAGGGGAUGCAAGACUUUUGCUUCAAGAAAUAUUGUUAUCCACGAAUAUUGUAAUGACGCCAGUAAGUGGAGUAGGUUGAGGUCUUUCAAAGAAAUUGAUCAAGUACUGAGAAAUGAUAAAGCAAGUGAUUCCACUCAAGCUUUGGUUCUAAAUCUAUCUGAAGCCCGUUUGAAGCAAGUUGUAACCCUGAAAUUUUUGCAAAGAUGUGCAAUCUUGUUGAAUGGAGGGAAUACCCUACCGAGUCAAGAACUCAAGAGGAUGUUCAUGUUACGAUAACCUUCUUAAAAAAAGAUGUUUGGCACGUGUAGCUCAAAAAUUUGUCCAAGAAUUCAACCAAACAACUGUCUGUCUCAGUGCGGGAUCAACCUUUCCAACAUGAACAAUCAUUACGUGACAACUUUGGUUGUGGCUGCACAAUAACUCAGGUCAACUUCAGUUUAUCAGGGGAUGCUUUUGUGGGGACUAAUUUGGAGUGGAAAGGAAUGGCUUUGUAUUUGGUUAAGAUUUAUUCUUCUUGUCAUUUACUUUAUAAAAGAAAGCUUUGGAAAGAUUUGAAAGCUUGUGGGGACUAAUCUAUAUUUAAGUGGUUAAAUGCGGGAGACUCUAAUUCAAAGUUUUUUCAGGCAACCAUGAAGAAGAGAUAUAGAAGAAAUAGUAUUUUAGCUCUUAAGUCAGAGAGGGGUUUGCUUGAGCAGGUUGAAGUUCUGAGUCAUUUCGAAAGUAGAUUCUAAGAACCCAAGGCUCUCGGACCAAAUUUGGAGGGGGUAGACUUUAAGCACCUUUCAGUUGUUGAUUGCCUUAGUCUAAAGGAACCAUUAUCUUAAGAAGAAAUUAAGGAGGCAGUAUGGUUGUGCGAUGGCAGGAAGAGUCCAGGACCGGGCGGCUUUAACUUGGGCUUCUUUAAAAGGUGUUGGGACAUUAUCAAAAGUGAUCUCUUUGCUUGUGUUAAAGAAUUCUAUGUGUGUGCUUCGUUGCCCAAGGCCUACACUGAAGCUUUUGUGGCUUUAAUUCCCAAAGUUCAGAAUCCUCAACAUAUAAGUGAAUUUAGGCCCCUAUGCCUUGUGGGGAAGUUUGUACAAAAUUCUUGCUUAAGCUAUUGGCAAGGCGCUUGAAAAAAGUGAUUGGUAUCUUGGUUCUCAUUGAAUUGGUUGAUUAUGCGAGAAGCCGAGAAGGAAUUAGAAAGAGUGUUUUCUCUUCAAGGUUGACUUCGAAAAAGCGUAUGAUUCGGUCUUUUGGGGUUAUCUGCGUUAUAUCAUGGGAAGAAUGGGUUUGGGGUGUAGGUGGAUGAAUUGGAUCAAUGCCUGGAUUUUUUCAAGUUCUUUAUCAGUUCUAGUGAACGGCAGUCCUACUAAGGAUUUUCUAGCUCAAAGGGUUCUUCGCCAAGUGGAUCCUGUCUCCUUUAUUGUUUAUCAUUGCUGCUGAAGGCCUUGCUGGGUUGAUGUGUAACGCUGUCUGGUUAGGUAAGUUUCUUCCAUUCAUAGUUUCAGAUCAGGUUUCUUUUGACAUCCUUCAAUUCACAGACGAUAAGGUUUUGUUAGAGGAAGGUUCGGUGCACAACUUGUGGAGCAUUAAAGCGAUAUUAUGUGGUUUUAAGUUGCCAUCGGGUUUAUGUGUUAACUUAUGUAAAAUCGAAGUUAUUGGAAUUAAUUUGAAUGAUAGUUUCUUGUUUGCUGCUUCAUCUUUUCUCUCUUGCAGGUUGAGCUUUAUUCCGUUUUUAUUCCUUGGUAUCCUAAUCGGCGCUAGUACGCGCAGGAAGGAAAUAUGGUCUCCUCUGUUGUCUAAGCUUGCUCUCGUUUGUCUGGUUGGAAGGGAAAAUUUCUGUAUAUAGGGGCUCGCGUAGUGCUCCUGGGCGCGGUCCUAAAUGCAAUUCCGGUCUUUCUCUUUUCUUUUUAUAAUGCUCCGAGGAUUUUUAUCCGGGAGAUUGUCAAGAACUAGCGUGUUCAAAUUCUGCUACAUCAUAUUCCCAUAGCUUACUAUAGUUGCUAUUUAACAACGUUGAUAGAACUUAGAAGCACUGAAAAGGUGAGUUUCAAGGUUUUCUGAAUGAAGUUCCAAACAUGGUUCAGCUUUUCCAGAGUAUUGUUAUGAAUCUAUUUAUGGCUUUUAUAUAUUGAAAAUGGAUUGAUAACUAUUGGAACUAUUUGCUAUUGUGACUCAAGCUACUACACUUUACGAGCUUGAAAAAUCUAUGCAAAAUAAAGGAGAAUGAUUUUCUAAUAAUUGAAAUUAUUUUUAUUGAUUGAUUUAGGUAAUCUACAAUAUAAGAAAAUAAGAUGGUCUGGAAAGUUCCAAAUUGUCCCUGCUGAUUUUUUGUGCUGCCACGUGGGAUGUUUUAUUGCCACCUUCAGCUCUACCAUUCCAAUUUGAAGCGUGAUUUGCAGGUUAAUGCAAGGACAAACAAUGGAGAAGAAGAACAAUUUUUUUGGAUCCAUUACAACCUUCUUGACCUUUUAAUGGAGGUAAUAUUUUUUUCAGAUAUGUUUUUACCCACAACCUCCCUGCUUCUACUCAUUCAUCUUCAUCAACAUUUUAUUCAUCUUUUUCAUAGUUAAUAUGUGAUGCUUUUGAGUUUUAUAUUAUGGUUUGAUGAGGUUAACAGAAAAAGUUAUCAUUUUUAUGGUUAUUGUUUCAUAAAAAGUUAUCAUUUUUAUAGUUAUUGUUUUGAAAAAAAUUAACAUUUUUAUCAUCGUUAGUCUUUAUGUUGAUUUUUCUGUUUCGUCUUUAUGUUAUUAUUUGUUGUUUUUUUUACAGUGAUGUAUAGUUUUGCAGUGUGAAUCUGUGGUGGCAGCAGAACGUUUCCGGCGCCAAGUGUGGUUGUGGUCGGAUUUGAAAUGGUUGUUAUAUUUUAUUGACUGAAAUGUGUAUCAUCUACACUUUUAUGAUUUCUUUUUAAUUUUUUUUAACUUGCAGAUCUAUUAACUUCUUCAUUAGAUUUCAUUUUUCAUUCUUCAUCCACCAAAAAAUCUGCUUCUCCAAAUACUUAAAAAAAAAGUUAGCUUGA